rnacentral:rRNA from 1 species
AUUAACGCUAGCGGCAGGCAUAAUACAUGCAAGUUGAACGGCAGCACAGGUAGCAAUACCGGGUGGCGAGUGGCGCACGGGUGCGUAACACGUAUGCAACCUACCCUAUACAGGCGAAUAACCUUUAGAAAUGAGGGCUAAUACGCCGUAGGUAUUAUCUUGGGGCAUCUUGAGAUAAUUAAAGAUUUAUCGGUAUAGGAUGGGCAUGCGUCCCAUUAGUUAGUUGGUAAGGUAACGGCUUACCAAGACGAUGAUGGGUAGGGG